AUGUCGUUGCUCCCACCGGACACGAGAUCGGUCGGCUGCCGGGUCGUGUACCUGUGUCGGGACCCCAAAGAUGCCCUCGUGUCAAGGCUGCACUUCGAGAACAAGGCGUUCCAGGGCACCAACCUGUCCAUGGACAGUGCUUUCAGCAUGUUCUGCGAGGGCUUCUCGCCCUAUGGCCCCUUCUGGGAUCACUGCCUCGGGUACUGGAGGGAGAGUGUAACAAGGCCCGACAACGUUCUUUUCUUGAAGUAUGAGGAGAUCAAGUCCGAUCCAGUGAACACCGUGAGGAAGCUGGCGAAGUUCCUCGGCGUCCCGCUGACUGAGGAGGAGGAGAGGUCCGGCGUUGCUCAGGAGGUGGUGAGGCUGUGCAGCUUUGAGGCACUUACCAACCUGCAAGUCAAUCAGGUCGGCCGCGUACGCCUCGGUGAUAACAUUUUCAUGAGUAACUCUGUGUUUUACAGAAAAGGAGAAGUUGGGGACUGGGCAAACCACAUGAGCCACGAGAUGGGGGACAAGUUGGACCGCAUCGUCCAACAAAAGCUUGAAGGAUCUGGGCUUGUGUUUUGA
rnacentral:rRNA from 1 species